rnacentral:rRNA from 1 species
UACAGAGGGUGCGAGCGUUAAUCGGAAUUACUGGGCGUAAAGCGUGCGUAGACGGCUAUCUAAGUCGGGUGUGAAAGCCCCGGGCUCAACCUGGGAAUUGCAUUCGAGACUGAAUAGCUAGGGUGCGGUAGAGGGAAGCGGAAUUUCCGGUGUAGCGGUGAAAUGCGUAGAUAUCGGAAGGAACAUCAGUGGCGAAAGCGGCUUCCUGGACCAG